AUUGAACGCUGGCGGCAGGCCUAACACAUGCAAGUCGAGCGGAUGAAGGGAGCUUGCUCCUGGAUUCAGCGGCGGACGGGUGAGUAAUGCCUAGGAAUCUGCCUGGUAGUGGGGGAUAACGUCCGGAACGGGCGCUUAUUCCGCCUACGUCCCGAGGGGGGAAGGGGGGGGUCUUUGGAACUCACGCUUUCCGAUUAACCUAGGUCGGAUUAGCUAGUUGGUGGGGUAAAGGCCUACCAAGGCGACGAUCCGUAACUGGUCUGAGAGGAUGAUCAGUCACACUGGAACUGAGACACGGUCCAGACUCCUACGGGAGGCAGCAGUGGGGAAUAUUGGACAAUGGGCGAAAGCCUGAUCCAGCCAUGCCGCGUGUGUGAAGAAGGUCUUCGGAUUGUAAAGCACUUUAAGUUGGGAGGAAGGGCAGUAAGUUAAUACCUUGCUGUUUUGACGUUACCAACAGAAUAAGCACCGGCUAACUUCGUG
rnacentral:rRNA from 1 species